rnacentral:rRNA from 1 species
CGCUGGCGGCGUGCUUAACACAUGCAAGUCGAACGGAAAGGCCCUGCUUUUGUGGGGUGCUCGAGUGGCGAACGGGUGAGUAACACGUGAGUAACCUGCCCUUGACUUUGGGAUAACUUCAGGAAACUGGGGCUAAUACCGGAUAGGAGCUCCUGCUGCAUGGUGGGGGUUGGAAAGUUUCGGCGGUUGGGGAUGGACUCGCGGCUUAUCAGCUUGUUGGUGGGGUAGUGGCUUACCAAGGCUUUGACGGGUAGCCGGCCUGAGAGGGUGACCGGCCACAUUGGGACUGAGAUACGGCCCAGACUCCUACGGGAGGCAGCAGUGGGGAAUAUUGCACAAUGGGCGGAAGCCUGAUGCAGCAACGCCGCGUGCGGGAUGACGGCCUUCGGGUUGUAAACCGCUUUCGCCUGUGACGAAGCGUGAGUGACGGUAAUGGGUAAAGAAGCACCGGCUAACUACGUGCCAGCAGCCGCGGUGAUACGUAGGGUGCGAGCGUUGUCCGGAUUUAUUGGGCGUAAAGGGCUCGUAGGUGGUUGAUCGCGUCGGAAGUGUAAUCUUGGGGCUUAACCCUGAGCGUGCUUUCGAUACGGGUUGACUUGAGGAAGGUAGGGGAGAAUGGAAUUCCUGGUGGAGCGGUGGAAUGCGCAGAUAUCAGGAGGAACACCAGUGGCGAAGGCGGUUCUCUGGGCCUUUCCUGACGCUGAGGAGCGAAAGCGUGGGGAGCGAACAGGCUUAGAUACCCUGGUAGUCCACGCUGUAAACGGUGGGUACUAGGUGUGGGGUCCAUUCCACGGGUUCCGUGCCGUAGCUAACGCUUUAAGUACCCCGCCUGGGGAGUACGGCCGCAAGGCUAAAACUCAAAGGAAUUGACGGGGCCCCGCACAAGCGGCGGAGCAUGCGGAUUAAUUCGAUGCAACGCAUAGAACCUUACCUGGGUUUGACAUGGAUCGGGAGUGCUCAGAGAUGGGUGUGCCUCUUUUGGGGUCGGUUCACAGGUGGUGCAUGGCUGUCGUCAGCUCGUGUCGUGAGAUGUUGGGUUAAGUCCCGCAACGAGCGCAACCCUUGUUCACUGUUGCCAGCACGUUAUGGUGGGGACUCAGUCGAGACCGCCGGGGUCAACUCGGAGGAAGGUGGGGAUGACGUCAAGUCAUCAUGCCCCUUAUGUCCAGGGCUUCACGCAUGCUACAAUGGCUGGUACAGAGAGUGGCGAGCCUGUGAGGGUGAGCGAAUCUCGGAAAGCCGGUCUCAGUUCGGAUUGGGGUCUGCAACUCGACCUCAUGAAGUCGGAGUCGCUAGUAAUCGCAGAUCAGCAACGCUGCGGUGAAUACGUUCCCGGGGCUUGUACACACCGCCCGUCAAGUCAUGAAAGUUGGUAACACCCGAAGCCGGUGGCCUAACCGUUGUGGGGGAGCCGUCGAAGGUGGGACUGGUGAA